AUGCUGCUCGUCGGCUUCUUGUCCCUGCUCGUCCUCGCAGGUGGGGCGACCUGUGAGGCGAACUGCAGCUAUCAAGAUGUUCUGAAUCACUUGAAGCUGACCAAAGACAUCAACCUGUUCCACAUGAUCCGGCCUGUUAGAGACCCCCGAUCCACCACAGAGGUUCACCUGAGUUUGCUGCUCUACGCCAUUCUUGAGGUGAAAGAGAAGGACCAGAAAUUUGUACCUUACGUCUGGAUCACCAUGGUGAGUUCUCGCACCUUUUCACGAAUUUCCAACCCUCUCGCAAACUCACGCACAACUCCUCUGGUUUUCCUCUGCAGUGGUGGAAGAACGAUCACAUUGGUUGGAAUCCUGAUGAAUUUUGUGGGAUCCAGUCUGUGUCCAUCCCCAAUGAACUACUGUGGAAGCCCGAUCUCACCAUUGAGGAGAUGUGAGUUUUAAUGAAUGGUCACACAGCAACUGCAGGUCAUUGUGUCACUGUUCAGAAAGACAUGAACCUUCAUCGAGGCCAAUCGAGAUCAAACUAAUUUACAGGAUUCAUCUCUUAAAAAGCCUGUUGUGAUGACAACAGUAGUUAGUGUCGCAUUAGAUAGUAUUUACUCAAUGUUCUUCUAAAAUGCUGUUUUUUCGCCCUUGUUUUCAGUCAGGCGGAAUGAGGGGGUAUUAGGGCCAUAGUGAUUUUUCAAUAAUAUUCAUAAUAUUACAAGAAUCGAGUUGUCAUUUAAUGAGAAAAAUCUCAUAAUAUUUAAAACAAUAAAAU
rnacentral:lncRNA from 1 species